rnacentral:rRNA from 1 species
UACGUAGGUGUCCAGCGUUGUCCGGAUUUACUGGGCGUAAAGAGCGCGCAGGCGGUCGUUCAAGUCGAGUGUGAAAGCCCCCGGCUCAACUGGGGAGGGUCACUCGAUACUGAUCGACUGGAAGGCAGGAGAGGGAAGCGGAAUUCCCGGUGUAGUGGUGAAAUGCGUAGAUAUCGGGAGGAACACCAGUGGCGAAGGCGGCUUCCUGGCCUGUUCUUGACGCUGAGGCGCGAAAGCUAGGGGAGCAAACGGG